AGCCCGACACCCCUCGGAGAGUCCUCCAAGGUGCCUGAGUUGCACCCCGCUGUCGCUCUGUCCCCUCCAACUAGGUGCAGGGACCUGGGGAGGCGCGCGAGGACCGACUGGUCACCGCUAAAAUUACCUCAUCGCCUCAGCUCCCCGCCCCUUUCCCAAACCUGGAAGAACUGUCCCCUGCGGCCCGGGUCUCCCCUCCCGCCCUCCGCCCCCCGCCCCACCCCGAUCGCAAGCGAGUCUUUGGGAAGCGCGCCCGCCUCCCCCGGGGCCGCCCAGCCCGGCGGCGCGCAGCGAAGGGUUAAGGGCGCGGGCCGGCUGCUGCGCCGUGCGCUCGCGGUGCUCCGAGCCGCUCGCCCCGCCGCCCGCCAGAGGGUGCCCCCCCGCCCCCAAGUCGGAUCCUUGAGCUGCGACGGCGGCAGCCAACUGCUCCAUAUUUGGCUUCUAUUACACAUUUACAUACUGGAGCGAGCGAGCGAGCGAGAGAGCGCGAGAGAGCGCGAGGGAGGGAGGGAGGGAGCGAGGGAGGGCGGGCGGAGGGAGGAGGGAGGGGAGGGGAGCGGGGGGAGGAGGAGGAGGAGAGAGCAGAGUAUACCGCAGACAUCAUUUCUACUACAGUGGCGGAGCCGUACAGGACCUGUUUCACUGCAGGGGGAUCCAAAACAAGCCCCGUGGAGCAGCCGCCAGAGCUACAGCAGCCGCAAGACACUGUUUCUCUCCCUCUGCCCCCCCUUCCCCACGCAACCCCAGAUCCAUUUACACUUUACAGUCUUUACCUCACAAAAACUACUACAAGCACCAAGCUUCCUGAUGGAAAGGAGCAUCGUGCAGCAAGUCACCAGGGUGGUCCCUUCAAGCUGCAGAUUUGUGUGUCAUCCUUGUACCACAGUCUCCUCCUCUACGGCCACUACAGGGAAGUCCAUCACAUAUCAGGUCACAGAGAGUGCUGGUGGACAUCUCCUCUUGCCCCAAGAUCUUCGUUGGAAGUCCACGGGACUUGGUGUCUUUGCCGUUCAAAGUGUAUAUGAACUCUCCAGGAGGCAUAAUGCGUCACCAUUUUAUUCUGGGCCACCCUAA
rnacentral:lncRNA from 1 species